AACAGCCCAGGAGAAAGGAGUUCUCUGCUGUGGAAAAGAAGAGAAGCCUGAUGAAGGUGCAGCAUCUGACACUGCUGUGGGAUGAAGAAUCCACGGAAAUACAGACACAUCCAGCUUUUCCUGAAAAACAAAGUACAGAUCCCUAGUCAAGAAAAGAUUAAGCUGUAAUUUCACACACCUCGGUAUAAAAUCAUUUCUAUAUACAUUACAGAAAGCUCCACCUCAUUCUACAGAAUCUUUUUGGAAGCCUAAAGUAGUUUAAUCGUUACUUCUCCAGUCCCCACUUUAGAAACCUGUAAAUGUAUACAAUAUGACAUCACGCUGUCAGGAAUUGCAUACACACUGAAAUCUGUUUUGCAGAAAUACAGGACUUCUGGAAAGGCCUUAAAGACCAUCUUAUUCUAACCUUCAGCAAUGAAACAGGAUUAAGUACACUUAAAUCCAUAACAGAUAAAUGCAUAAUUAAUUCAAUUCCACAAUGCCAGUUCCAAUUUGUGGCUUUUUGUUUAAAUCACUUGACUGUAGAGCUUAUUUCAAUGUCACUAUACUGUAAUUUUAUUGUACUCCAUUCAAAUGUGCCAAAAACUGAAGAGGAUGCAGCUACGACUAAGACUACGAGAAACUGAAAAUGACUAGCUGCCACCAUCAAGGCUUCCAAGAUCAACCACAAAAUAGACCAUUAGAAGCCAGAGGUUGGUUAGAGGCCUGCUAACAGAUGCCACAGCACUGACGGAGCUCCAAGCCACACUCCUUAAAUAUGGAGAGGUAUCAAUGGUGUGACAAUAACAACUCCAAAACGAAUAAGGUCUUCUCCUUUUAAAGGUUUCUAAUAGAAACCUCUUAAAACUGACUAUUAGCAGCUAUGAAAAGGACAGAUAGCCAGUUUUAUUGCUGAUAAUGCUAUAGCACAACACCACUGUGAACUUAACAAGCACCCUUUACAUUAAGUCUGGUCGCCCUCUGAGCUCAGCUGAUGUGUCCCCAGCUGCCUCCCUGCCAAGUUCUUCCUUGAUGACCCCAAGCCCAUAAUCCACGGGGUGCAAAAGGCAGAGACCCACCGCCGG